GACGAACGCUGGCGGCGUGCUUAACACAUGCAAGUCGAACGGAAAGGCCCUGCUUUUGUGGGGUGCUCGAGUGGCGAACGGGUGAGUAACACGUGAGUAACCUGCCCUUGACUUUGGGAUAACUUCAGGAAACUGGGGCUAAUACCGGAUAGGAGCUCCUGCUGCAUGGUGGGGGUUGGAAAGUUUCGGCGGUUGGGGAUGGACUCGCGGCUUAUCAGCUUGUUGGUGGGGUAGUGGCUUACCAAGGCUUUGACGGGUAGCCGGCCUGAGAGGGUGACCGGCCACAUGGGGCUUGAGAUACGGCCCAGACCCAUACGGGGGGCAGAGGGGGGGAAUAUUGCACAAGGGGCGGAGGCCUGAUGCAGCAACGCCGGGGGGGGGAGGACGGCUUUCGGGUGGUAAACCGUUUUCGCCUGGGACGAGGCGGGGGGGCGGGUAAUGGGAAAAGAAGCCCCGGCUAAUUACGG
rnacentral:rRNA from 1 species